rnacentral:rRNA from 1 species
AGUGAACGCUGGCGGCAGGCCUAACACAUGCAAGUCGAACGGCAGCACAAGAAGGCUUGCUCUCUGGGUGGCGAGUGGCGGGCGGGUGAGGCAUGCAUCUGAAUCUACUCAUUUGUGGGGGAUAACCCCGGGAAACCGGGACUAAUACCGCAUACGAACUACGGGUGAAAGCAGGGGAUCUUCGGACCUUGCGCAGAUGGAUGAGCCGAUGCCGGAUUAGCUAGUUGGAGGGGUAAAGGCCCACCAAGGCGACGAUCCGUAGCUGGUCUGAGAGGAUGAUCAGCCACACUGGGACUGAGACACGGCCCAGACUCCUACGGGAGGCAGCAGUGGGGAAUAUUGGACAAUGGGCGCAAGCCUGAUCCAGCCAUGCCGCGUGUGUGAAGAAGGCCUUCGGGUUGUAAAGCACUUUUGUUGGGAAAGAAAAGCAGCCGGUUAAUACCCGGUUGUCAUGACGGUACCCAAAGAAUAAGCACCGGCUAACUUCGUG